GACGAACCGUGCGAACGUUGUUCGGAUUCACUGGGCUUAAAGGGCGCGUAGGCGGGCCGCGUAGUCGGUGGUGAAAUCUUUCGGCUCAACCGGAAAAUCGCCUCCGAUACUGGCGGCCUCGAGGGGGGUAGGGGCAUGCGGAACUUCGGGUGGAGCGGUGAAAUGCGUAGAUAUCAUUUGGAACGCCAAUGGUGAAAACAGCUCGCUGGGGGUGCACUGACACUGAGACACGAAAGCCAGGGGAGCGAACGGG
rnacentral:rRNA from 1 species